CCGAGCCUGGUGGCCCAGGUGGGUCCUGCCCUGAGCCUCUGCAGCCCCCUGCAGCUCUCGGCCUCCACCUAACACCUCGUGUCCUCCCCCAGCUCCAACCCAGCUGCCGGCGCCCAGGACGAGAACCUCUAUGCAGUCCUGGAGGACGCCUGGCUGGAGGAAGGGGUGAAGCAGGACAGUCGGAUGGCGUCUGAAGUCCCCCGGAUUUGGUCAGCUGGACGGCUCGAACCUCCAUCCCAGGAAGGGAAGCCCCUCGCUCCGUCCGGCAUAUACACUACCCUGGCCAUGACCUAGCCCAGGCAGGACUCAACCCACACUCCAGGGAGGGAGGCUCAGGGAUCCGGGGAGGCCCAGGACUCAACCCACACUCCAGGGAGGGAGGCUCAGGGAUCCGGGGAGGGCAGGAGCUGCCUCAGGGACACUGACUAGUGAACGCAGCCAGUCCGGGCACCUCGCAGAGGCCCCAGGAGAUGCUGGGAACUUCAGGAGUCACCCGACUCUGCUGUCAGAGAUACCAAUACGCCUGCACUUGGGAAAGGAGGCCGCAGACUUCUCAGCAAUCGCCGCCGUGAAUAAGAAAAUAAAGCAGGAGGUAGAGACGAUUUUA